rnacentral:rRNA from 1 species
UGGGGAAUAUUGCGCAAUGGGCGAAAGCCUGACGCAGCGACGCCGCGUGAGGGAUGAAGGUUUUCGGAUCGUAAACCUCUGUCAGAAGGGAAGAAACCGCACUGUGCUAAUCAGCAGUGCCUUGACGGUACCUUCAAAGGAAGCACCGGCUAACUCCGUGCCAGCAGCCGCGGUAAUACGGAGGGUGCAAGCGUUAAUCGGAAUUACUGGGCGUAAAGCGCACGUAGGCUGCUUUGUAAGUCAGGGGUGAAAUCCCACGGCUCAACCGUGGAACUGCCUUUGAUACUGCUUAGCUUGAAUCCGGGAGAGGGUGGCGGAAUUCCAGGUGUAGGAGUGAAAUCCGUAGAUAUCUGGAGGAACAUCAGUGGCAAAGGCGGCCACCUGGACCGGUAUUGACGCUGAGGUGCGAAAGCGUGGGGAGCAAACAGG